AGCUCCAAUAGCGUAUAUUAAAGUUGUUGCAGUUAAAAAGCUCGUAGUUGGAUUUGAGGAUCGGCGCACAGUUGACAGCCGCAAGGUUGACGACAGGCAAAGAUCUUGAGACGACUGACGUGACGGUGGCGUGCUUGACUGUACGUUGCUGUCGAUAAGCGUCAGUCUGUUUACUUUGAAGAAAAUAGAGUGUUCAAAGCAGGCAAUACGCCUUGAAUACUGUAGCAUGGAAUAAUGGAAUAGGACUUCCGUCCUAUUUUGUUGGCUUGUAGGGCCGGAAGUAAUGAUUAAUAGGGAUAGUUGGGGGCAUUCGUAUUCAAUUGUCAGAGGUGAAAUUCUUGGAUUUAUUGAAGACGAACUAAUGCGAAAGCAUUUGCCAAGGAUGUUUUCAUUAAUCAAG
rnacentral:rRNA from 1 species